rnacentral:rRNA from 1 species
UGCAAGCCUCCACACACCAGUGAGAAUGCCCAUACACCCCCAAAGAGCCAACCGGAGCGGGCAUCAGGAUACAACACUUUUUGCCAAAGACGCCUUGCACAUGCCACACCCACACGGGCUUUCAGCAGUAAUUAACAUUAAGACAUGAGCGAAAGCUCGACUUAGUUAUGGUAUACACGGUCGGUAAAUUUCGUGCCAGCCACCGCGGUUAUACGAAAGACCAAAAACAACGGCCCGCGGCGUAAAGCGUGACUAGAGCCUAAUAAAACUAUUAAAGGAAAACGGCCACCAAGUCGUAAAACACCACUGUAUGUUAGAAUACCAACAAUAAGAUGCCUUUAAACCUACUUUAUCUCACGAAAGCUAAGAAACAAACUGGGAUUAGAUACCCCACUAUGCUUAGCCCUAAACACAGAUGGUACAGACACAAUACCAUCCGCCAGAGGACUACAAGCGAAAAGCUAAAAACUCCAAGGACUUGGCGGUGCUUCAAAUCUACCUAGAGGAGCCUGUCCUACAAUCGAUACCCCACGUUUUACCCCACCGCUCCUAGCCAACCAGCCUAUAUACCGCCGUCGUCAGCCUACCUUAUGAGAGAAGUAAAGUGAGCAAAAAAGUUACUAACUAACACGUCAGGUCAAGGUGUAGCACACGAAGCGGCAGAGAUGGGCUACAUUUUUCCAAAGGGAAAACACGAAUAGUAAGCUGAAACACACACUUGAAGGCGGAUUUAGUAGUAAAACAAGCAAGAAUACUUAUUUUAAACCUGCUCUGAAGCG